AUUAUCUGGAGAUCUUGUUAAAGGUAGAUUUUGGUUCAGAAGUCUGGGGUGGGGCCCAAGAUUCUGCAUUUCUAACAAGCUCUCAGGUGAUUUCAAU
rnacentral:miRNA from 1 species